rnacentral:rRNA from 1 species
UACGUAGGGACCAAGCGUUGUUCGGAUUUACUGGGCGUAAAGAGCGCGCAGGCGGUCGUACAAGUCGCGUGUGAAAGCCCCUGGCUCAACUGGGGAGGGUCACGCGAUACUGUUCGACUUGAAGGCAGGAGAGGGAAGUGGAAUUCCCGGUGUAGUGGUGAAAUGCGUAGAUAUCGGGAGGAACACCAGUGGCGAAGGCGACUUCCUGGCCUGUUCUUGACGCUGAGGCACGAAGGCCAGGGGAGCAAACGGG